AGGUGGGUUGGGCCUGGAAGAAGAGCCUUCGAAGCCUCAGGAAACCAAGAGUGUUGAGCCUCUAAGAAGAGCCUUCGAAGCCUUACGAGACCAAAACGUGGGUUGGGCCUGGAAGAAGAGCCUUCGAAGCCCCAGGAAAGCAAGAGGUUAGUCUAAUCUUCUUCAUACAAGUGCUUCUACU